AAUAAAUGUUGCAAAUUAUUUCCUGACCGAAAAUGAUUCUGUUCUGUGUGCCGACGCGGCCCGGAGGACCCGAACCAGCGUAUGACCAGACCCAGUGUUAAAAGAACAGAGAGCGGUUCAAAGAAAACAGAUUUAUUAACCAACUGUGU